UACGUAGGUGGCAAGGCGUUGUCCGGAUUUACUGGGCGUAAAGAGCGCGCAGGCGGUCGUUCAAGUCGCGUGUGAAAGCCCCCGGCUCAACUGGGGAGGGUCACGCGAUACUGAUCGACUCGAAGGCAGGAGAGGGAAGUGGAAUUCCCGGUGUAGUGGUGAAAUGCGUAGAUAUCGGGAGGAACACCAGUGGCGAAGGCGACUUCCUGGCCUGUUCUUGACGCUGAGGCGGCGAAAGCUAGGGGAGCAAACGGG
rnacentral:rRNA from 1 species